UUGUAUUUGCAUUUUUUUUUAAUGUUUCUGAUAAUGAAUUUGAUUGAGCCAAAUACCUCAAAACCAUCGUAGAUAGUUACUUUUAAUCGAGAUGACCAAAACGAGUCGUCAGAAUUUAACGGCAUAACUUCAAAUUGAUACCACUAUAGUUUUUAUAGAACCUGGAUUUUAAAGUAUUUAACAGGAACCUUCUUUUAUAAUAUUCAACAUACAGAAGUGGAUAUCAAAGGUAGAAAAUUAGAAUACUUAAAGCCAACGGGUAAGGCAAAUUAUGAAAGGAAUAGAGCCAGCCACCCCAAUAAACGGCC
rnacentral:lncRNA from 1 species